rnacentral:ncRNA from 1 species
AUAGAAAUUAUUUGAAAUGAAAACAAGAAUCGUAAAUACAUAUUGGUGGUGGCGCCUAUUACAACUCCGACAGUCGUAAGGGAGCAGAGCUCGUAUGUAUAUACUUCAUACAAUAUAAAUUAAUUAGAGCCCUGUC